UAUAUUGCACACCCUUUAAUUAGUCCAUUUUCAUCACAAGAUUUUACAUGAAUCUUUCAACAUUUGGAAUUUCAAUAGCUCCUUGGUCAUGUGACCUAGUGACUUCAAACAAGGUUCAGAAUGUCCACUCAGUGGGCCUACACAUUGCACACCCUUUAGUUUGUCCAUUUUAAUUUCACAUGAUUUGACAUGAAAAUGUCAAAAUGUAAAAUUUCAAUAGAAAUGGCUGAGGAUAUACAAAAAAUGUCUGAGUUCAACAAAGCCAACAACUGCUUCAUGUGUGCCACUGAUAAAGAACCUGGAUGUGGCCCAAAGACUGACUAGAUUGACUGUUUUGCAUGCCAACGGUGGUUCCAUGUGCUGUAACUAAGAAUGAAGACAACAUAGUUCAACAGAGUAAUGAACACACACUGGAAGUGCAGUCUUUGUUGUUGAACAUGUAUGCUAUACCCCAUCCACACUGAAGAUGCUCUGAAAUGUACAUCAACCAGGGAUAAAGAGAAAGUUAACACUGAAAUGUUUCAUACUUAUUUCAAGUUAAGUGUCUGUUGACAUGUUGGAAAAUAUUAAAGGUCUACAAUUUCUGUUUCAUUUGUCAAUAUUCAAUUUUUA